rnacentral:sRNA from 1 species
AGUUUGAUCUUGUAAUGGUAGAGCCAGGAUGUUAAGCCCAAGUGGUUGGGCUGUCCCUCAUUGUCCACAGCUGCCUCUUAUCCACAUUGGAGCAUCCCCCAGUGCGGUCAGGGCAAAGGCAGCAGAGGGCGGGGGUCUGUCUGAGGGUGGUGCUGGUCCCUGGGUACAGAAUGUCCCUGAGCAGCCCCCACAGGCAGCUGCCUCUCCUCCUACAGUAGGUCCCUGGAGAUACCCUGGCUGCCCGGCUCAGCAGUCUCAACCCCCAGGCCCCACCCACGCAGCAGGGACUGAAAUAACUCAAGCGUGUGUUUUCUACCCAAGGUUGUCUUCAACCACCUUACUCCUCCACUGCCCGAUGAACACCUGGAUGAAGACAAGCAUUUUGUGGUGGCUCUGUAUGACUACACCGCUAUGAAUGAUCGGGACCUGCAGAUGCUGAAGGGGGAGAAGCUACAGGUCCUGAAGGGAACUGGAGACUGGUGGCUGGCCAGGUCACUCGUCACAGGAAGAGAAGGCUAUGUGCCCAGCAACUUUGUGGCCCGAGUGG